rnacentral:rRNA from 1 species
UGGGGAAUUUUGGACAAUGGGGGCAACCCUGAUCCAGCAAUGCCGCGUGAGUGAAGAAGGCCUUCGGGUUGUAAAGCUCUUUUGUCAGGGAAGAAACGGUAGUAGCGAAUAACUACUACUAAUGACGGUACCUGAAGAAUAAGCACCGGCUAACUACGUGCCAGCAGCCGCGGUAAUAUGUAGGGUGCAAGCGUUAAUCGGAAUUACUGGGCGUAAAGCGUGCGCAGGCGGUUGUGUAAGUCAGAUGUGAAAUCCCCGGGCUCAACCUGGGAAUUGCAUUUGAGACUGCACGGCUAGAGUGUGUCAGAGGGGGGUAGAAUUCCACGUGUAGCAGUGAAAUGCGUAGAUAUGUGGAGGAAUACCGAUGGCGAAGGCAGCCCCCUGGGAUAACACUGACGCUCAUGCACGAAAGCGUGGGGAGCAAACAGGAUUAGAUACCCUUGUAGUCCCUGAGCGGGCUGGCAAGGCGCAU